rnacentral:rRNA from 1 species
GACGAACGCUGGCGGCGUGCUUAACACAUGCAAGUCGAACGGAAAAGCCCUGCUUUUGUGGGGUGCUCGAGUGGCGAACGGGUGAGUAACACGUGAGUAACCUGCCCUUGACUUUGGGAUAACUUCAGGAAACUGGGGCUAAUACCGGAUAGGAGCUCCUGCUGCAUGGUGGGGGUUGGAAAGUUUCGGCGGUUGGGGAUGGACUCGCAGCUUAUCAGCUUGUUGGUGGGGUAGUGGCUUACCAAGGCUUUGACGGGUAGCCGGCCUGAGAGGGUGACCGGCCACAUUGGGACUGAGAUACGGCCCAGACUCCUACGGGAGGCAGCAGUGGGGAAUAUUGCACAAUGGGCGGAAGCCUGAUGCAGCAACGCCGCGUGCGGGAUGACGGCCCUCGGGUUGUAAACCGCUUUCGCCUGUGACGAAGCGUGAGUGACGGUAAUGGGUAAAGAAGCACCGGCUAACUACGUG